CCUACGGUGGGCAGCAGUAGGGAAUUUUUCACAAUGGGCGAAAGCCUGAUGGAGCAACGCAGCGUGCAGGAUGAAGGCCUUCGGGUUGUAAACUGCUUUUAUAAGCGAGAAAUAUGAUGGUAACUUAUGAAUAAGGAACGGCUAACUACGUGCCAGCAGCCGCGGUCAUACGUAGGAUCCGAGCAUUAUCCGGAGUGACUGGGUGUAAGGAGUUGCGUAGUUGGCAUAAUAAGUAGCUAGUGAAAUCUGGUGGCCCAACCAUUCAGACUAUUAGCUAAACUGGUAAGCUCGAGACCGUUAGGGGUAACUGGAAUUUCUAGUGUAGGAGUGAAAUCCGUAGAUAUUAGAAGGAACACCAAUAGCGUAGGCAGGUUGCUGGGACGGUUCUGACACUAAGGCACGAAAGCGUAGGGAGCAAACGGGAUUAGAUACCCGUGUAGUC
rnacentral:rRNA from 1 species